GCGGGUGUAGCUCAGUGGUAGAGCCCCGGCCUUCCAAGCCGGUCGCGAGGGUCCGAUUCCCUUCACCCGCUCCA
rnacentral:tRNA from 1 species